rnacentral:ncRNA from 1 species
AUUAUGGAGAGUUUGAUCCUGGCUCAGGACGAACGCUGGCGGCGUGCCUAAUACAUGCAAGUCGAGCGGAAUGAUGAAGAAGCUUGCUUCUUCUGAUUUUAGCGGCGGACGGGUGAGUAACACGUGG